rnacentral:rRNA from 1 species
GCUGGAGGUAUCGGAAGUGCGAAUGCUGACAUGAGUAGCGAUAAAGGGGGUGAAAGGCCCCCUCGCCGUAAGCCCAAGGUUUCCUACGCAACGUUCAUCGGCGUAGGGUGAGUCGGCCCCUAAGGCGAGGCAGAAAUGCGUAGCUGAUGGGAAGCAGGUUAAUAUUCCUGCACCAUUGUUAAAUGCGAUGGGGGGACGGAUCGCGGAAGGUUGUCCGGGUGUUGGAAGUCCCGGUUCCUGUGUUGGAGAAGGCGCUUUGGCAAAUCCGGGCGCGGAAUUCAAGGGCAUGGGACGAGUGACUUAGGUCACGAAGCAACUGGAAGUGGUUCCAAGAAAAGCCUCUAAGCUUCAGUUUAACAAGACCGUACCGCAAACCGACACAGGUGGGCGAGAUGAGUAUUCUAAGGCGCUUGAGAGAACUCGGGAGAAGGAACUCGGCAAAUUGGUACCGUAACUUCGGGAUAAGGUACGCCCCUGUAGCUUGACUGGCCUGCGCCAGGAGGGUGAAGGGGUUGCAAUAAACUGGUGGCUGCGACUGUUUAAUAAAAACACAGCACUCUGCAAACACGAAAGUGGACGUAUAGGGUGUGACGCCUGCCCGGUGCCGGAAGAUUAAAUGAUGGGGUGCAAGCUCUUGAUUGAAGUCCCGGUAAACGGCGGCCGUAACUAUAACGGUCCUAAGGUAGCGAAAUUCCUUGUCGGGUAAGUUCCGACCUGCACGAAUGGCGUAACGAUGGCCACACUGUCUCCUCCCGAGACUCAGCGAAGUUGAAGUGUUUGUGAUGAUGCAAUCUCCCCGCGGCUAGACGGAAAGACCCCAUGAACCUUUACUGUAGCUUUGCAUUGGACUUUGAACCGAUCUGUGUAGGAUAGGUGGGAGGCUUUGAAGCGGGAACGCCAGUUUCCGUGGAGCCAACCUUGAAAUACCACCCUGGUUUGUUUGAGGUUCUAACCUUGGCCCGUAAUCCGGGUCGGGGACAGUGCAUGGUAGGCAGUUUGACUGGGGCGGUCUCCUCCCAAAGUGUAACGGAGGAGUACGAAGGUACGCUAGGUACGGUCGGAAAUCGUGCUGAUAGUGCAAUGGCAUAAGCGUGCUUAACUGCGAGACCGACAAGUCGAGCAGGUGCGAAAGCAGGUCAUAGUGAUCCGGUGGUUCUGUAUGGAAGGGCCAUCGCUCAACGGAUAAAAGGUACUCUGGGGAUAACAGGCUGAUACCGCCCAAGAGUUCAUAUCGACGGCGGUGUUUGGCACCUCGAUGUCGGCUCAUCUCAUCCUGGGGCUGUAGCCGGUCCCAAGGGUAUGGCUGUUCGCCAUUUAAAGAGGUACGUGAGCUGGGUUUAAAACGUCGUGAGACAGUUUGGUCCCUAUCUGCCGUGGGCGCUGGAUAUUUGAAGGGGGCUGCUCCUAGUACGAGAGGACCGGAGUGGACGAACCUCUGGUGUACCGGUUGUCACGCCAGUGGCAUCGCCGGGUAGCUAUGUUCGGAAGAGAUAACCGCUGAAAGCAUCUAAGCGGGAAACUCGCCUUAAGAUGAGAUAUCCCCGGGGCUUCGAGCCCCUUGAAGGGUCGUUCAAGACCAGGACGUUGAUAGGUCAGGUGUGGAAGCGCAGUAAUGCGUUAAGCUAACUGAUACUAAUUGCCCGUAAGGCUUGAUCCU